GACGAACGCUGGCGGCGUGCUUAACACAUGCAAGUCGAACGGUAAGGCCCUGCCUUUGUUCGGUGCUCGAGUGGCGAACGGGUGAGUAACACGUGAGUAACCUGCCCUUGACUUUGGGAUAACUUCAGGAAACUGGGGCUAAUACCGGAUAGGAGCACCUGCUGCAUGGUGGCGGUUGGAAAGUUUCGGUGGUUGGGGAUGGACAUGCGGCUUAUCAGUUUGUUGGUGGGGUAGUGGUUUACCAAGGCGUGGACGGGUAGCCGGCCCGAGAGGGUGACCGGCCACAGAGGGACUGAGGUGCGAGCCAGACUGCUACGGGAGGCAGCGGUGGAGAAUAGAGCGCGAUGGGCGGAAGCCGUAAGGAGGAACGCCGCGUGCGAGAGCACGGCUGUCAGAUUGGAAAGCGCGUGCGCCUGUAACGAAGCGUGAGUGACGGUAACUGAUAAGAAAGCAACGGCUAACUACGUG
rnacentral:rRNA from 1 species